CCUACGGGUGGCAGCAGUGAGGAAUAUUGGUCAAUGGGCGAGAGCCUGAACCAGCCAAGUCGCGUGAGGGAGUACUGCUCUAUGGGUUGUAAACUUCUUUUAUAUAGGAAUAAAAUGAGGAACGUGUGCCUUUUUGUAUGUACCAUAUGAAUAAGGAUCGGCUAACUCCGUGCCAGCAGCCGCGGUAAUACGGAGGAUGCGAGCGUUAUCCGGAUUUAUUGGGUUUAAAGGGUGCGUAGGUGGUUAGUUAAGUCAGCGGUGAAAGUUUGUGGCUCAACCGUAAAAUUGCCAUUGAUACUGGCAGUCUUGAGUACAGUUGAGGUAGGCGGAAUUCGUGGUGUAGCGGUGAAAUGCAUAGAUAUCACGAAGAACCCCGAUUGCGAAGGCAGCUUACUAAACUAUAACUGACAUUGAUGCUCGAAAGCGUGGGUAUCAAACAGGAUUAGAUACCCGAGUAGUC
rnacentral:rRNA from 1 species